UAACAUAUGCUAAUUGGAGUGCUUGCAUUUCCAUUUGCCCGCAGAGAAUAGUGGAGUUCAUUAACUGAACAAACAGAACCUCCUCUCUCGAAAUAUCACUUUAAUUAAGACCGCGAACACAAGUACAAGCGUCGGGGAAAGGGGAGGCUCAGCUCCAAAUGCCAUACCUGUAUGUGAGCUAUAGGGCCUGUGGCUUCUCUACUCUGUGCCCUUUUACAUAUUAUUUCCCUGGGAAUUAGUUCACACCAUCAACAGAUGGAAGUUGGCCACUGGCCAGAAACAAGUAGGGUAAUUAGGUCGUCCUAUGGCUCAGAUUGAAAAUAAUUCUGUUAAUAAGGAAAUGGGUGUCCGUGGAGAGCACAGAGGGGAGCAGUCUAACCUUCUCUGCGGUAAGGUGAUCCGUAGGGACGGCUGAAGGGGCAGCCAUAUUUAGGUCAGCUUGGCUUACUUUCAGAUGAGCGAGUGAGGAAUGAAGCUGUGCUCUUAAAAUAGAGAUGCGGGAUUAUUCUUGCCAUCUCCUACAAGAGAAGCUUUAAAGUAAAGUCAAAAUAAUUUUAUCGUCUUUGCAGAAACCACAGGUAUAUGUACGCCUCUGGGUACAGACUGUGGUUGGAGGGCACCACUCUGCUCAUGCGUAUCACUCACUCUGUUUCUCAUCUUGCCAUCGUACACCACUCAAACAAGUUGCUGCGGUAAGUUUUCCCGGGCGCUGUCCAUCGCAGUGGUGCUGAAAUUGUUGGUAUGUUCUUUUCAAGCCCCCUGUCAGUUGUGCAGUUGUCCACCAGAGGGCGCAUAUCAUGCACCUAAAUGCUCACCCGUGUGAUUUGAGAGAUGCAAUGUUGUGCUGGCACCUUUUCUACACAGAUUCAAGGAACACCAGGUCACUGUUGACACCUUUAUAACCUGCCUGCACAGAUCAGUCAUCUUUAAUUCAAAUACAGAUGUCCUUCAGGCCAGGGCGGGAUCUCACUAACACAACAAGCCAAUCAGCCAACAAGGCGAAUCGAGCUGCUUUUCCAUUGGUCAAAACAGGUGUCAGUCAAUGGUUUAACGUAAAGGCGUUAACUUUUCACUGUGGCUUUUCCGGAAGUGUCCACCGGUAA
rnacentral:lncRNA from 1 species